UGCAAGCGUUGUUCGGAAUUACUGGGCGUAAAGCGCGUGCAGGCGGCAUUUUAAGUUUCGUGUGAAAGCCCUCGGCUCAACCGAGGAACCGCGCGGAAUACUGAGAAGCUUGAAUACGGGAGAAGAGGGCGGAAUUCCCAGUGUAGAAGUGAAAUUCGUAGAUAUUGGGAGGAACACCGGCGGCGAAAGCGGCUCUCUAGACCGAUAUUGACGCUCAUACGCGAAAGCGUGGGUAGCAAACAGG
rnacentral:rRNA from 1 species